CCUACGGGGGGCAGCAGUGGGGAAUAUUGGACAAUGGGGGCAUCCCUGAUCCAGCCAUGCCGCGUGUGUGAAGAAGGCCCUCGGGUUGUAAAGCACUUUCAGUGAGGAAGAACGCCUGGUGGUUAAUACCCAUCAGGAAAGACAUCACUCACAGAAGAAGCACCGGCUAACUCCGUGCCAGCAGCCGCGGUAAUACGGAGGGUGCGAGCGUUAAUCGGAAUUACUGGGCGUAAAGCGCGCGUAGGUGGCUUGAUAAGCCGGUUGUGAAAGCCCCGGGCUCAACCUGGGAACGGCAUCCGGAACUGUCAAGCUAGAGUGCAGGAGAGGAAGGUAGAAUUCCCGGUGUAGCGGUGAAAUGCGUAGAGAUCGGGAGGAAUACCAGUGGCGAAGGCGGCCUUCUGGACUGACACUGACACUGAGGUGCGAAAGCGUGGGUAGCAAACAGGAUUAGAUACCCCAGUAGUC
rnacentral:rRNA from 1 species